ACGCUAAUACCGCAUACGUCCUACGGGAGAAAGCAGGGGACCUUCGGGCCUUGCGCUAUCAGAUGAGCCUAGGUCGGAUUAGCUAGUUGGUGGGGUAAUGGCUCACCAAGGCGACGAUCCGUAACUGGUCUGAGAGGAUGAUCAGUCACACUGGAACUGAGACACGGUCCAGACUCCUACGGGAGGCAGCAGUGGGGAAUAUUGGACAAUGGGCGAAAGCCUGAUCCAGCCAUGCCGCGUGUGUGAAGAAGGUCUUCGGAUUGUAAAGCACUUUAAGUUGGGAGGAAGGGCAGUAAGUUAAUACCUUGCUGUUUUGACGUUACCGACAGAAUAAGCACCGGCUAACUCUGUGCCAGCAGCCGCGGUAAUACAGAGGGUGCAAGCGUUAAUCGGAAUUACUGGGCGUAAAGCGCGCGUAGGUGGUUCGUUAAGUUGGAUGUGAAAGCCCCGGGCUCAACCUGGGAACUGCAUCCAAAACUGGCGAGCUAGAGUACGGUAGAGGGUGGUGGAAUUUCCUGUGUAGCGGUGAAAUGCGUAGAUAUAGGAAGGAACACCAGUGA
rnacentral:rRNA from 1 species